GCCCGCUUGGCUCAGUGGUAAAGCGUCGCACUUGUAAUGCGAAGAUCAAGAGUUCAAUUCUCUUAGUGGGCA